rnacentral:rRNA from 1 species
AUUGAACGCUGGCGGCAGGCCUAACACAUGCAAGUCAAACGGUAACAGGGAUCAGCUUGCUGAUUCGCUGACGAGUGGCGGACGGGUGAGUAAUGUCUGGGAAACUGCCUGAUGGAGGGGGAUAACUACUGGAAACGGUAGCUAAUACCGCAUAACGUCGCAAGACCAAAGAGGGGGACCUUCGGGCCUCUUGCCAUCGGAUGUGCCCAGAUGGGAUUAGCUAGUAGGUGGGGUAACGGCUCACCUAGGCGACGAUCCCUAGCUGGUCUGAGAGGAUGACCAGCCACACUGGAACUGAGACACGGUCCAGACUCCUACGGGAGGCAGCAGUGGGGAAUAUUGCACAAAGGGCGCAAGCCUGAUGCAGCCAUGCCGCGUGUAUGAAGAAGGCCUUCGGGUUGUAAAGUACUUUCAGCGGGGAGGAAGGGAGUAAAGUUAAUACCUUUGCUCAUUGACGUUACCCGCAGAAGAAGCACCGGCUAACUCCGUG